GACGAACGCUGGCGGCGUGCUUAACACAUGCAAGUCGAACGGAAAGGCCCUGCUUUUGUGGGGUUCUCGAGUGGCGAACGGGUGAGUAACACGUGAGUAACCUGCCCUUGACUUUGGGAUAACUUCAGGAAACUGGGGCUAAUACCGGAUAGGAGCUCCUGCUGCAUGGUGGGGGUUGGAAAGUUUCGGCGGUUGGGGAUGGACUCGCGGGUUAUCAGCUUGUUGGUGGGGUAGUGGCUUACCAAGGCUUUGACGGGUAGCCGUCCUGAGAGGGUGACCGGCCACAUUGGGCCUGAGAUACGGCCCAGACUCCUACGGGAGGCAGCAGUGGGGAAUAUUGCACAAUGGGCGGAAGCGUGAUGCAGAAACGCCGCGUGCGGGAUGACGGCCUUCGGGUUGUAAACCGCUUUCGCCUGUGACGAAGCGUGAGUGACGGUAAUGGGUAAAGAAGCACCGGCUAACUACGUG
rnacentral:rRNA from 1 species